rnacentral:rRNA from 1 species
UAACGGCGAGUGAAGCGGCAACAGCUCAAAUUUGAAAUCUGGCCUCCUUGCGGGGUCCGAGUUGUAAUUUGCAGAGGAUGCUUUUGGCGAGGAGCCUUCCAAGUUCCCUAGAAUGGGACGCCAUAGAGGGUGAGAGCCCCGUACGGUUGGAUUCCGAGCCUCUGUAAAGCUCCUUCGACGAGUCGAGUAGUUUGGGAAUGCUGCUCUAAAUGGGAGGUAAACCCCUUCUAAAGCUAAAUACUGGCCAGAGACCGAUAGCGCACAAGUAGAGUGAUCGAAAGAUGAAAAGCACUUUGAAAAGAGAGUUAAACAGCACGUGAAAUUGUUGAAAGGGAAGCGCUUGUGACCAGACUUGCGCCUGGCAGCUCAGCCGUCCCUCCGGGGCGGUGCACUCUGCCGGCUCAGGCCAGCAUCAGUUCGCGGUCGGGGAGAAAAGCGGCGGGAACGUGGCUCUUCGGAGUGUUAUAGCCCGCUGCAAUACCCUUCCGCGGACUGAGGUUCGCGCAUCUUGCAUGGAUGCUGGCGUAAUGGUUAUCAGCGACCCGUCUUGAAACACGGACCAAGGAGUCGUCCUAAUAUGCGAGUGCUAGGGUGUAAAACCCCUGCGCGGAAUGAAAGUGAACGGAGGUGAGAGCUCGGCGCAUCAUCGACCGAUCCUGAUGUUCUCGGAUGGAUUUGAGUAAGAGCAUAUUGGGCCGGACCCGAAAGAAGGUGAACUAUGCCUGUAUAGGGUGAAGCCAGAGGAAACUCUGGUGGAGGCUCGCAGCGGUUCUGACGUGCAAAUCGAUCGUCAAAUAUGGGCAUGGGGGCGAAAGACUAAUCGAACCUUUUAGUAGCUGGUUUCCGCCGAAGUUUCCCUCAGGAUAGCAGUGUUGAACUUCAGUUUUAUGAGGUAAAGCGAAUGAUUAGGGACUCGGGGGCGCUAUUUUGCCUUCAUCCAUUCUCAAACUUUAAAUAUGUAAGAAGCCCUUGUUGCUUAGGUGAACGUGGGCAUUCGAAUGUACAACACUA